GAUGAACGCUGGCGGCGUGCCUAAUGCAUGCAAGUCGAGCGAACUGAUUAGAAGCUUGCUUCUAUGACGUUAGCGGCGGACGGGUGAGUAACACGUGGGUAACCUGCCUGUAAGACUGGGAUAACUUCGGGAAACCGAAGCUAAUACCGGAUAGGAUCUUCUCCUUCAUGGGAGAUGAUUGAAAGAUGGUUUCGGCUAUCACUUACAGAUGGGCCCGCGGUGCAUUAGCUAGUUGGUGAGGUAACGGCUCACCAAGGCAACGAUGCAUAGCCGACCUGAGGGGGUGAUCGGCCACACUGGGACUGAGACACGGCCCAGACUCCUACGGGAGGCAGCAGUAGGGAAUCUUCCGCAAUGGACGAAAGUCUGACGGAGCAACGCUGCGUGAGUGAUGAAGGCUUUCGGGUCGUAAAACUCUGUUGUUAGGGAAGAACAAGUACAAGAGUAACUGCUUGUACCUUGACGGUACCUAACCAGAAAGCCACGGCUAACUACGUGCCAGCCGCCGCAGUAACAC
rnacentral:rRNA from 1 species